rnacentral:rRNA from 1 species
UACGUAGGGUGCGAGCGUUAAUCGGAAUUACUGGGCGUAAAGCGUGCGCAGGCGGUGAUGUAAGACCGAUGUGAAAUCCCCGGGCUUAACCUGGGAACUGCAUUGGUGACUGCAUUGCUGGAGUAUGGCAGAGGGGGGGUGGAAUUCCACGUGUAGCAGUGAAAUGCGUAGAGAUGUGGAGGAACACCGAUGGCGAAGGCAGCCCCCCUGGGUUAACACUGACGCUCAGGCACGAAAGCGUGGGGAGCAAACAGG